rnacentral:lncRNA from 1 species
GCAACACCCUUUAAAAACGGAGGCAGGAUGGGAGAAAAGCAUGAAGGGAGAAAGUUCUACGACAUGGCAGCCAACGCCAUGAAGGCUCUGUCACUGCAGACAUAAGGCCAAUUGUAGAAGCCCUGAAAAAUGCCGGAGGUAAAGACACCCAUCUGUAGGAGAGCUCCCGUCUCAAACAGGGCCUAAUCCAAAGCCCACGGAAAUUGAGCUGACCUCUAAAGCAUAUUGCAUUGCGUGCCGUAUGCUGCACUACAGCUAUGUGUGCCUCACAGAGUGGCCUGCAUACUGAGGUGUGUUCUGUAGCCCAGAACAGCAGUUAGCUGAUGGGGUCAGGUCAUUUGUUACUCAUUUAGAACCCUCUUUCUUCCUGCAUCGUAUUCAAGUCUCUUCUCACCUACUAGGUCUAUCUAAUCUAUUUAUCAUAGAUACUUACAGGGCCCCCUCAUUACCACAGCACGUUGGCAUCCCACAGGCUUUAAUGCACUCCUAUGAGGUAGGGAAGGGCUGCUAUCCCCAUUUUACAGUUGGAGAACUGAGGCAUGGGGUGAUAUGGUGCAGGUUGCACAGGUCUCCCAAGUUCCAGACCAUCACCCUAACCACUGGACCGUUCUUCCUCCUUUGUGCCCAAUGACAUCUCUGCUCUAAUUUCUUGUUGUUGCGUCUUGUUCUCACUAUGCUCUCCCUAAUACUUUGGCUUUACUACUCCCAUCAUUUCCUUCUGUUUCUUUGUUUCACGCCUUCUGUCAUGCUCUCCUUGGACUUUUUACCAGCUCGUUCUCUCUUCUCAAUUUUUCUUAGCUUGCAAGUUCUUUGGUGGCAGACAACAUGCUUUAGUCUACAGUGCAGAUAUCCUUUUUCCUUCAAAGUCUCCAGAAAUUACAACACAUGCCGCUUUUAUGGGGCCAUUAGUUAGGAGACUGACAAGGUGCAGGUAUGCGGAUGAUAUGAAACCCCACUGCAUUUACAUACAAAUUGAAGAUUUUUAUUAAUCAGCCCAGUAACAGGAAUCAAACGGCAACACUCCAUCAGGUCCUUAAAUACAUUUGGUGACAUUUUUACCAUGCAUUAG